CUCAUUUUGGUUUUAUAAAAUCAAGGCUUAGUUAUUCCUUUCCCCAAUUUAGGUUUUAUACAUAUGGGUAAUCAGAAAUUAGGGUUCUUAUUUCAUACAUUAGCGUGGAAUAUGCAUUUUUUAAUUGCAACUUACUAUAUUGAAAGAAUUUCCUGUCUUCCUGGUUCAUUUUGGGAAACUCACACCUUUUUUUUCCCUAGAGAACCUGUUCAUGGUGUCUGAAGUUAUAUAUUUUACUUUCAAGUAUAACCAAAUCGUAAAUGAUCGUAUAUUAAGAUUAAAAUUUGGGUUUAUAGUGAAAGGUUGUUUUGAUGUUCAGGAAUGUGGUCUUUAAUCAAAUCGUAAACGAUCAUAUAUUAAGAUUAAGAUUUGGGUUUAUAGUGAAAGGUUGUUUUGAUGUUCAGGAAUGUGGUCUUUAAUCAUUUUAUAGUGGCAGCAUUGGAGCAAAGAUGAGAUCAACAUCAGACAACAUUUGCAUUUUGAAUGGGUAGAUAGACUUUUGCACUAAUCUCGACAGUGGCUCAUGUGUAUAUCAUUUGUUUACCUAUGCAUUUUGCAGGUAGCAAUAGUCCUCAUCCAUCUCUCACUUCCAAAUUCUAUUGAAACUAAUUGGUCAUACGAUUAGCAUUGGAGCAAAGAUGAGAUCAACAUCAGACAACAUUUGCAUUUUGAAUGGGUAUAUAGACUUUUGCACUACAGUGGCUCACUGUAUAUCAUUUGUUUACCUAUGCAUUUUGCAGGUAAGAUUCCCCUUAUAUACGCCUACAGAAUUUGAGCUGGACAUGUUAAACAAGAUUAUUACUCCUUUCACCAUACCAUUUGGUUAUUGCAAUUGGCAUGGGUAGUUUAUUGGUUAUUUUGUAGAUGCGCGAUGUCAAAAAUGGAGCAUAGAGAUUAACUAUGAUAAAUCAGAAAUGUCUAUGAACUCAUUCUGGCGAUGUCAGAAAUGGGGCGUAGAGAUUAAGUAAGGUAAAUCAGAAAUGUCGACGAACUCAUUCGAUUUAUAAUGUUUAUUGGUUUUGCACUCUGGUUUGUUCGUAUAGCCAGCUUCUUCUUUUAACAUUUUUAUUGGUUGUCUCAUUUACAACUGGAAUAUGGAAUACUUUUAAGUUCAAACAAGGAAUUUGAGCUGGCACAAGUUGCAUCAGUUUAUCUGUAACAAUGUAAAACAAAGAAUUUAAUGUUUUAACCUUAUGCUAGGAGGUUCUAGCACUUUCUGCGUAGUAUACACUCAAAAAGGGGUCCGCCACUUUUCUUUUUUUUGCUGGUCACAGCCAAAAGAGAAGAUAUUGUUGAGUUAGUUUGUUCAGUUGACAACCGAAUCAAAACACUCAUAGGCAUGUUUUGUGUCAGUUGACAUGAGUAUGUGUAAGUUCAUAUGCAUCUCAAGUAUUUAACAAAAAAAAAAAAAGAGUUGAUGUGUUGCAUUAAAUGUAUGACAGUGACCGGGUACAUUUUCGUCAUUUGUUUUAUCAUUGGGUAAUUGAGUUGUAAACCAUUCACAUUGUUAGUGAUUAAACUACGCAUGCAAGAACUUUUGUUACAUCUUUCUUUUUUAGAGUAGCGUAGUGAAAGUCAUAGUUUCUACUAUCUAAAAUAGAUGAGUUCAUACAAUAAUUAAAAAUAAAACAGAAUUAAGGAUAGUGCAUCAUGAAAACCAAUGCCAACAAAUAGGGAGGUGUCUAUAUGAAUUCAGCCAUGUCAGUAGACGGUCAUAUUAGCAUGUCAUCAUGUAUCUGUCUGCCCAAGCUUAUGAAAUGUGAAAAAAAAUAACUACAUCAACAGACAACAAGACCAACCUAUCAUUUAGAUUGUUGAUAAAUAUACUUUUAAUUUUCAAUGACAAACAAAGAAUACAACUUUUAGGACAGGUUUCUAGACAAAUUCAUUUUCUUUAAAAUACUGCGCAUAAUUGGAUGCUCUCUACUUACUUAGAACGUAUUAGUGAUGGAGCGAAAGAACAAAUAAACAAGGAAGCUUACCCCAAACACGGCACGGGUCGUAUCCUAGUAUUAUAAUAAAUGACAGUGGUGUUUUUUUAUAUCGACGACUCUCUAUAAUUCGGACACAUAAAGAAUGGUCUAGAUUGAUUUGUGUCAAAUAUCUACAUUUUGGAUACAUAAAGAACGGUCCAGAUUGGUUCACAUUUUGCAACGUCCCAGAUCCGGCUUAUCUCCCUGUAUUUUUUUAUCUUUAAGACUGUAAUGCCUAUCUACGGUAAGCUUAUUCGGCUCCACCUUUUACUAGGUUACCAAAAUAAAUGAUACGUUACUCAUUAACACCGCCAUUAUUUCUGUUUAGUAAUAUGUGCAAAUGUUCCACUAGAGAAACCUCAAAUCAUUCAGGUAAGUUUUUCUGACUUGGGUAUUUUUUCAGGGAAAUCUCUCUCAUUUUGAUACUGUCAUUUCAUAUUUUUGUUGGUUUUUUGUUAAUUAGUUUUCAUUUCAUACUUUUCCAUAAGCUUUUUCUUGUAUUUAUUUCGUUUUAGUUACUUUUCCAUGAGCUUUUUCUCUGACUGAUUGCGUUGUUGUAAAUUACCAUCCGUCUCAGGUAAAAGUCAUUUGAAUUCCAUGAUUUGAAGUGGUUGUCGUUCAUAUCAAUUUUGAGUAAGGAUGUUAUUUCUUUCACCCAAUCUCAACUAAAUCCAAAUUAUGUUACUGUUGAUUAUAGAAAUUCUUUUUGAUUUUAUUCUCCCCUUGAUUAACACGGGUUCUCUCAGUUUUGGAAAAGAGCCACUUAAAAGAAUUUAUGCAGCAGAAUCUUGGCAAUAUUUAUAUCCGAGUUAUCUAAGCCAAAUACACCAAGAUUGUCUUUGAGUAUGGGAGUGCGUUGGUGUUGGGUCUUGGCUGCCAGCCUGUGAGGAACCUCAACUACCCGUAAUCAAAAAUUAAAUUAAAUGAAACAUUAUUUUUAAGAGUUAUCGUAUUCCAUUACUAUUUAUAGUUGUACACAUAUUUCUUUUGCUUUUGCUUUAGAGAUCCCUUAUUUCUUUUAUGUUCAACAUUUUCAAAGAUUGUUACAGGACUUACGGUGUCUAAAAAAGUUGAGAUAGGUAAUUUUUGUAUGAGUUUGAUCGUUCUUUCUUAUUUUUCAUUUCUUUUGCAUUUAGAAGUCAUGGACAUAUAUACUGAGAUAGCAAACUUAAAAUAGGUACCAAGUUGUAGCUAAUAAUCAUUAUGGUAUAUACUUUAUUAUAAAUCUUUGUUGCUUCCCAAGGAGGAAAUGAGAUUAGUGUGGCUCUGAAAUAAUGAGAUGCACGGUCCUUCACUACUUUAUUAUUGCUAAAUUGUAAUAUGGUGCAUGGCCCUUCAUUAAUGUGUGAUUUGUGGUAGUCAACUAGUUAUGGGAUGUAUAUUUCGACUGUCCAGGUUGCGGAAACAUUAAGAGUGAUGGUAAUUGGUGCUCCACUGGCGGAUGUUAUACAUAUUGCUCAACGAUACAAAAGGAUGCAACAAAAAGCUGAAGCUGAGAUAAUUUUUUCAUAGCAUUUGGAUUUCAAGCAUGAUAUAGAUGUAAUAAGGAUCUUGGAUGUUUGAAACUGAGGACUCAAAACGGUUGCUUAUAUGAAUUACCAUGGUUCAUAGUAUCUGAGGGCUUGAAGCAGUAUUUUCAGAAAAUUAUCACUUCAUAGUUUAGUGGAGUGUGUCAAAUUUACCCACACUGUGAGGUUGAGAUACUGUCUCCCCCGAUAAAUACGUAAAGAUAAGACUAUGUUAUGAUCCUUGGGACAUCCUUGGUCCAUGAGUCCAUGACUAAUGUUGAGACCUAGAAGAAUGUCUUUGGAAUUGUUAUGCAUAAAUUUGAAGAAUUAUGGGUUCCAUUCUCACUGUGGGCGUUAUUAUAUAUGGUGUCAUAUUGUUCGAGAGCUCACAAGGAUUUUCUAUUUUUACCGUCUCUUAUCUCAUAAUAUGUUGUUGUCUUACAUGUUUUGUUUUAUGCAGGGUGCCAUCAGGGAUACCUUUGCAUAACAGAAAGGUUUGAUAUUUAAUCUUCGGAAAUGCUUUAUACACCGAGCCAAAUAAACCGUGAUUGCACCGUGUGAGUGGAAAGGGUGGGGCCCACUUCUAUCCUUCCGUAUCUCGAUGCUAAACAUGCUAUUUUGUGUCCGUGCGAUUCUCUCGGUGCACAUUUCCGGUGUAUUUGUUCGUAAACACGAGCGACAAGCAAAAAACAUCUAAUACUUUUUGCUUAUGCAAUGACAACCAAUCAUCCGUGGGGACAUUCUGUCAAAGACACUGACAACGCUUUAAAGCAUGACUGUACAAGAGUAUGUAGGUGGGUGCAUGGCUGCUCAGGAGGUUGAUGAUAUAUUGUUAAGAGACUCUAAAACGUUGCUUUGUGGAAUCUGACGGAAGAGGUUUGGUUUCAUCGUUAUCUAUUUUGGUAAUCGUAUACCAUGUUAGUGGCCUGUUAACUUCAUGCAUUUUUUUUUUGAAACUACCAUUUUAAUUUAUUGAAAUGUUUUAUUUUUACGUGAAAGGACGUAGUUGCACCUCGCGAUCCAAAUCUUGAAGAGAUGCCCGUUUCUAAAGUUAUGGUGAGAACCCUGUUUUUGUUAUUACACGUCUCGAUAGAGCGACUGAAAAGAGAAAAGCUAUUUUUGUGGCCACGGUCAAUUAUAUGUCGAGAUGCACAAAUGCGAUAAGAAUGAAGGUGUUAUUAAAGGUAAAGGAUACUUACACGGAGCAUGAGACUGGAAACGUAUAUCUAAAACUACUAUUGUAAAUAAUAAAUGAAAACCAUUUGGAACCCCUUUUAUACCCCAUUCCGCACAAUGUCCAAAUGAUUAAACGGUAACCACAG